UACGAAGGGGGCUAGCGUUGUUCGGAAUCACUGGGCGUAAAGCGCACGUAGGCGGCUCUUUAAGUCAGAGGUGAAAUCCCAAGGCUCAACCUUGGAACUGCCUUUGAUACUGGGGAUCUUGAGUCCGGGAGAGGUGAGUGGAACUGCGAGUGUAGAGGUGAAAUUCGUAGAUAUUCGCAAGAACACCAGUGGCGAAGGCGGCUCACUGGCCCGGUACUGAUGCUGAGGUGCGAAAGCGUGGGGAGCAAACAGG
rnacentral:rRNA from 1 species